rfam:Gossypium raimondii Chr08_contig_742, whole genome shotgun sequence.
UAUUAAAAAUUUUAUCCAUUUAUACUGUUAAAAAUUGGCGUGAUUGAUAGAAUAAACCAGACAGUGAUAUGUGUAUAUCAUGUUGACAUACAAGGAGGGUCAGUUUUUAAUAUUAGAAAUAGAUUAAAUUCUUAACU